rnacentral:miRNA from 1 species
UUGGUGCAAAAGUAAUUGUGGUUUUUGCCAUUGAAAGUAAUGGCAAAAACUGCAAUAACUUUUGCACCAACCUAAUA